UACAGAGACUGCAAGCGUUAUUCGGAUUCACUGGGCGUAAAGGGUGCGCAGGCGGCCAAGUGUGUGAGGCGUGAAAGCCCGGGGCUUAACCCCGGAAUUGCACCUCAAACUACAUGGCUAGAGCAUUGGAGAGGGUAGCAGAAUUCAUGGUGUAGCAGUGAAAUGCGCAGAUAUCAGGAGGAACACCAAUGGCGAAGGCAGCACUCUGGGACGUGACUGACGCUGAGACGCGAAAGCCAGGGGAGCAAACGGG
rnacentral:rRNA from 1 species